CUCUUCAAUUCCCUCUCCUUCUUAAGAGUGGAUCUAGCCAAUCAAGGUUGACCAGCUUCUAUAGCUAUUAGAAGUGCUCUAGAUUGUUCCUCAAAUCCGACACAAGAGAGUCUCAUACAAUCCUUAAUUUCAACCACUUUCCGCAUCACCCAAUUAGAUGAGGAAUUAGGCUAAUCAAUUUCAAGAAGGAUAGCACACAACCGAUCAGGGUCCAUUUCUUCAUAAGACUCCUCAACUCUCCUAACUCACUUCCCUCUGCCUCCUCCUCCCCUCCAAGAAUCAUCUGCAUCUCAAAGUUAAGCUCUGGGGGCAAGGGACCCCAAAAACAAACUCCUCAAUGGACCCAAUGACAUUACCACUCAAUUCCACAUCUCCCUCUGCCACUUCCACCCCCUCUGAAACCCUUUCAUUGCCUUCAAAACGUAGCUCAACAAGAACUAGUAACGAUUGAGAAGAGAACCUCCCAACCCUGAGAUGAGAAUCUCCCUUCUAAAUCUCGGGCUUGGAGGAAGACAGCAUGCUCCCCUUCGCCGGAGCUGAACACACCACCUAAGUACCCUCAGAGGGGUCGACUACCACCGUCGUCCCCUUCUGUGAAGAAAGCUCAACCUCCUGUACCGUCAAGGGUAUAAUAUGGACCACCUCAGAGUUCCGAUUCUUAGAUCUGAGGAAUUGAACAGUUGCUGGUGGAUGGACCCCUCUCGAAGAACCUGUCGGAGACUCGCCUGUCGCCGUUGACCCUUUCUGUGACGUCGUAGUGUCUGUCGGAGCCACGGAGCCCUUGGGCUGGGCCACCCCUCCUCUCGGGCUGUUUGAGCCCUGUAUCUCACAUGAAGGCUUUGUCCUCUUGAAACAAGGCCCAUUCCGGCCCACAUGCCCAUCUGCUAACUUAACAUUCAGACCCACAGGCCCAUUCCGCUGCUCCCCCAUCCUUUUUCCUUCUUCCUUAUCCUCCAAAUUUAGGCCCAAACCCAUAAAUAGACCCAACCCUUCAUCUACCUUCUUCAACAUUGACUCCAACCUCUCCUUCCAACCGAAUAACUCUGCCCUUACGUGCCAUAGAGACCCUUCAACUUCUCCAAUUUUCUGCAACACCUCAGCAGGCCAACCAUUCUUCCUUCCAUCCAUCUGCUUCCACCACAGAGCCCUAUAUUUCUUAAUGUGCAUUCCACCACCAGCAUUGAACCAUUCCCUGGAUUGACUUGCUGGGACUAGAAAAUUUUUGGUAGAGUUGCAUAUUAUGUAUCCUGUUGUAGCUUGAUAUUUCACUCAUUAUUGACCAUAUAAGUUAAGCUUUCUUUUGAGAAUUGGGGAAGUAUGCACCUGGUACAGGACUCUGUCUUGCAUUUGACAGUUAAGACAUUCUUCCCAAUUGAAGUUGUUUUUGGCUGAGCAAUUUGUUUUACUAAGCUCAACAAGAAGUUGCAUCCAAGGAAAAAAAAAAAAUUUGAAAGGCCGAAAUGCACCAAUAGCUCCUGUUCAAAUUAAGUCCAAUUAUCCAUAUUUUGUGAUACUCGAUAACCAGAUGAAUAUCACAUAUUAUGAACCAAUAAAAUCCUGUCACAUGUUAAAGUAUUUGCACUUCAUUUUUAUUUCAUUGGCAAUAUAAUAAAAUUAUAAUAAGGGAAAGAACCAAAGGGGAGAGGCAGCAGAGACAGCACUAAAUGAAUGGAAGAAAACCAACAGAAAAAUAUAAAGAAAACAAUGUAUUAGUUGUGGAUCUCAGAUUUCAAACUUCCAAAUAUGUUUGUGAGGUUUCACCUAUUUUAAUGUCGUGGCUUCAAGUGGUAUUUCUAUUUGAAGUUUACUGGAAAAACGAAGGGGUCUUGUACUCGCGUUGUGUCAGUACUUCAAGCAAUUAUAGUCAUUUUUUUUUUCUCAUAUAUGUAGUUCAUUGUUUGCUUGGAUCUUACAAUUCUUAGUCGACUGUGGAAUAAAAAUGAAAAACCAAAACAGAGAGAUUUGCUAGCUUUUUGUCUGCUGAUGUGACUAUGCUUCUCUUAGGGGAUCCAGUGAUGGUUUAAUUCAAUAUGAAGAAAUACAAGAUUUUGCUUCAUUGUAUUGCAAAGUACCUUUGCGGUGAUGGAUCUGAAUUUUAUAGUCUAAUUUCCGUCUCUCUCUCUCUUUCUCUCUCUUCUGCUAAAUUUCUUUUGCUUUUCCUAUUUUGUUUCCAAUAGUCUUUGCUUUGAUGAUAUAGAUUAAAGAUUUAUUUUGUCACAUGGGGUGAUCUUAAUGGUCCAUAAAUCAUGCAAUGGGCAUUUAAAAAUAAUUGAAAGUUCAUCCUUGACAGAAUACAAUCAAAUAUGCAGUCUUGAUGCAUUUUUUGAUGAAUAAUAAAAGAAUUUAUUAACAUACACAAACAGCGUAGCCCGAGAACACAAGAAGUGUAAAAGAGAAAUGUCUAACUAGUAAUAGAAAAGAGAUGAGAAAAGCAUAAAAACUCUGACCAUUAAAAGUGUAGAUGCAUUUCACCCAAAUGAAGGUUUAUUACUAGCUAGAUCUUCGGUUUUCAAUAUGCAAAAGUGUUUUUCACCAAUUGGAGAGUCCAAGAUAGGUUUUCUAUACCAUGGUUGAACCAAAGUUUACUUGGGAAUAAAACAACUCUUGUUCUAUACCCUCCUGAAUUGUCUUUGAUAUUAGCUCAACGUGAGAAAAUAACGAGAAAAAUUCAUGUCUUCAUAUUGAUUAUU